AGAAUAAAUAUGUCCUUCGUAAAUAUCAUUGCAAUUUACACGUCGUGGGAAUCAGAGUUACUUCCCUACAGCCUUGCCCUUGGGGGAUAGUGUUCAUCGCCCGAUGCUGCCCAUGCCACCAUCCUAGGAAGAGCGGAGGACUCUUUGGGAAGAUAGCUUUUUUUUGGGGGGGGGGUGAGGAAGGUGGACUUGUUCAUUCAUUUGAACAUGUCGGGAGCUGCUGCGCGGCCCAGCCCCACCCCAGGAGCAGCCUUUGUUGGAGGCUCGGGCAGGAAGCUCUCCGGCAGGCAGGUGUGCCAGCGCCAGCCUCACCCUCUCAGGUGCCGUCAUACUGAUUCAUCCCGAGCCACUUCCCGGGGUGGGGCUGCUUGUCUCUGGCCCACCGCAGCCUGUCCCCACUUCCCAAUGACCUGGCCUCUGAGAAGCCGCGGGGCUCUCCCUGACUCAGCCCAGCGUCGGGAGAAGCGCGUGUGCCCCCGUUCUCAGGGAGGGAAGCUGCGCACCCACCUGCGGUCUCAGCCACCUGCACCGUCUCAGCCGGCACUGAUGCCCGGUUUCCUCCUACACAUUCUUAGCACGGCCUCAGCUGUGGGACCUGAGCAAGUCCUUGCUACUUUCACAGCUUGGCCGGUCUUGCACGCAGAUCCUCUACAGCACUGCACUUGUCACUCUACAGCUCCAGGAUAUAGGACAACUCCCUACUGUCAACAUCC
rnacentral:lncRNA from 1 species